GAGAGCAAUGAAAUAAAUAAAUAAGCCCGGCAGCACCAAUGAGCGCGGCAGAGCCGGCGGCGGCCGGAGCGGGGCUGGCUCCUUCGCCUGCCUCUGCCUGAAGCCGCAAAGUUCAGACCCAAACGUGUUGCGCCGCCGCCUGCUGCCGCCACCUGCUCCAACGCCCCGAGGAAGGCGGGCGGGCGAGGAGCUGCAGCUGCGUCGCCUCCCGCCUGGCUUGCCUGGACCGGCCGGGAGACGGCAGGCAGAGACGAGAUACUGGACUCGAUGGACCAAACUCUUAUCUGAAAUUUGUGAUUCUUGUGUGGCGUUAAGCUCAUUUUCAUUGGACAUAUAUCAAGAAACACUAAAAACUAGAUGA
rnacentral:lncRNA from 1 species